UUUGUCUUCUUGACCUCUGACCUAGCCCUGCUUCUGACUGCAUCUCUCCCCAGGACCUGCUUCCCCCUUGGUUCUGACAGCUUUGCUCUGCGGGACAGGCAGCUGGCACCCAGGUGGUGGCAAGAAAGACUGAGGGCCAUUGUUCCCACCGCUGACCCAGAACUGCUAGCUGCCUAAUGCUCCCAGGCUCCACCCCUUGUUCUUGCCAGGUUCCAGUGCUGGGCGGAGAGAGUGAGGGGGAGGUGACCACAAAAGUGGUCACUUCCUGCCACCGGGGUGUCACUUCUAAGGCAGACCCAGACACUGAGGAGCCUAGUCCCCUUCUUUCUUCUUUGUGGCAGGAAAACAAAUGGACCUUUCCCAAACGAAAGAAGACAAAUAAAUGGCUAAGAGGAACCUGGAAAGCCACAAUGACCAGCUGUGCACCGUGACACGUGGCUAUAAUCGCAGCACUUGGUGGAGGAGGUAAGACAAUCAAAGCUAAAUUCCAUUCUUAGCCAUAUGGUGAGUUGAGGACCAGCCUGGGUUACAUGUGACCCUGUCUCAAACAAAGCAAAUUGCAAGGGCCUGUCCUGUAGCACCUACGGUGGUGGCUGUUGUCAAGAUGUCAAAAGAAAACCAGCCCUACGGAGUGAACUUAGAAGCCUCCCGUGCCAUUGCUGAAAAUGCAAAAUGGCACAGCCACUGUGGGAAACAGUCUGGAGUUCUUCAAAGAAAAUUAAAAAUAGAAUUGCCAUAUGAUCCAGCAAUCUCAUUUCUGGGAAUGUAUCCAGAAGUAUUAAAAUCAGGAUCUUGAAGAAGAUAUUUAUACUCCCGUGUUCACCGCAGGAAGAUCCACAGUAGCCACGAUGUAGAAAACCCAGGCACCCUAUUGCAUACCUGUCACCCGGCACUUGGAAGUAGAGGCUGAGAGUCAGGAGGGAGGCAGUGCCGUGGAUGGAACCCAGGGCCUUGUGCAUGGUUGUGUGACAGAGAACAGUGCUUCACCUUGGUGGACUCUCAUUGUCAUCUGUGGAAUGACAGGCUGGGCCAGCAAAGCCAUUGGAUCCUGUGGUUUGCAUACCCAGUGCUCCCAGGGCCACUGCAUGGGGACCUGGCCAUGUGCUCCACACUCUGUCUCCUCCCCGGACCUGGCCAUGUGCUCCACACUCUGUCUCCUCCCGGGACCUGGUCAUGUGCUCCACACUCUGCCUCCUCCCAGGACCUGGCCAUGUGCUCCACACUCUGCCUCCUUCCAGGAUCUGGCCAUGUGCUCCACACUCUGCCUCCUCCCGGGACCUGGCCAUGUGCUCCACACUCUGCCUCUUCCCCAAGACCUGGUCAUGUGCUCUGCACUCUCCUCCUCUGGGACCCGGUGUGUUUUCUGCUUUCUGGCAAGGUGGAGUUGGGCACUGGAUUCUAAUACCUGUUAGUUUGUGACCUCUCCAGACCACAUCAACUGGGCCACAGUUUCCUCAUCCAUAGAAAAUGGACCUUAAUGGCCACAAUGUAGCCUCCAGCAGUUUAGAGGGUUCUGCAGAUAACGAACCCCACCAUAAUAACACAGCAUCCUGAAUCAGAGACGGCCUUCAAGCCGAUUUUCAAAUAUUGCCAGUGGUGCUUGGCAAACUGAUCAUCUAAUCAAUAUCAGGGCCUAAGAACCCGUAAACUUUUAAAAAGUUUUUUUGAGACAGAGUCUCAUGUAGCCUAGGUUGGCCUGAGACCUUGAACUCCAGUCCUUCUGUCUCUACCUCCCGAGGGCUGGGGUUACACAGACCACAUCUGGCUUAUGUGGUGCUGUGGUUUGAACCUGGGGUUUUGUGCAGGCGAAGCAAGCCCUCUACCAACCAAGCCACAUCCCCAGCCCCUACUCCUCAGAACUCUUAAGUGGCUGAGGGGCUGGAGGUGGUAGAGCUGUGCACUGUGUGCCUUAGAGCAGAAUAAGCCGAGGUGUGGUCUGAGUUCCUUGGACCAAGCUCAGUCCGCCUCAGAAUGUAAGUACAUUCUACAACACCACAGUAUUUACUUCCGUCAGCUG